rnacentral:rRNA from 1 species
UACGAAGGGGGCUAGCGUUGAUCGGAAUUACUGGGCGUAAAGCGCACGUAGGCGGCUAUUUAAGUCAGGGGUGAAAUCCCAGAGCUCAACUCUGGAACUGCCUUUGAUACUGGGUAUCUUGAGUAUGGAAGAGGUAAGUGGAAUUGCGAGUGUAGAGGUGAAAUUCGUAGAUAUUCGCAGGAACACCAGUGGCGAAGGCGGCUUACUGGUCCAUAACUGACGCUGAGGUGCGAAAGCGUGGGGAGCAAACAGG